rnacentral:misc_RNA from 1 species
AAAAAAUUUUCAGACGGUGUUGAUAAUGUUCCAAAGCAUUGUGCUCCAAGCUCGAUAUUUUCAGCCAGAGGACUCCCGAUUUUCCGAGGAGGAAGGAUAUCAGAACCAAUCCCGAAAAAAGGAUCCUGUGAGCUAGAGAAGGUAAAGUUCCCACCGGACUGCAAUUGGGUGGUCACCCAUGUCUUAACAGACAUGCUGAGGCCCUGGUUCACAAGAACAAUGUUCGAGUCCAGCACAUUAACAUACAGAGUAGCUGACGGACAACUGCUUGCACAUGAAACCAUUGACGUUAGGUUGAUAGAACCAGGGGCAAAUCGUAGAGGAUGAGCAAUUGGAAUCGGAGGUCCUCUUCUCGGAUGUUUCUUCCGGAAAAGUUGAAUUGGUGUUUGACCAAAGUUGGCAAUUUGAUCUUCUAUGGCAGACCUUUGCAAUUCAUCAUCCAUGGUAUCCAGAUCCACAGCAUCUUCAUAUGUCAAAUAGUAAAAAAUAUUUGCUGCCUCAACUGCUGGUUUU